GUCUACGGCCAUACCACCCUGAACACACCCGAUCUCGUCUGAUCUCGGAAGCUAAACAGGGUUGGGCCUGGUUAGUACUUGGAUGGGAGAAGACUCUGACCUCAGUCU
rnacentral:rRNA from 1 species